UCACCACAAAUGGGGCUGUCUACAUC
rnacentral:piRNA from 1 species